CCGGCAUUUUAUAGCCAGAGACAAGAAAUUUCACCACUGCUGGAAACAUUUCUAUCAAGUCAGUUAGAGAAGAAAAAUAAUCACCUUGCAGGAACAUGCCCAGAUAAACCCGAAAGUGAGCUGUGAAGCAGAAGCCCUAGCGUGGGAAGGAGAUCCUGCAAGUAUCUCAGCCAUGAAUUACUGCCAUUUUACUGCUGGGCCUCAUUUUUUUGUGCAGCUUCAAUUUGGUGGUGUUGUCCCUGACGAAGAUAAAUGUGCCUCCAAUACAGAAGAUGUGAUAACUAGGACUACUGAUAACUUCUUUUCUUGGCUGCCGUCCCACCAAAUGAGUCACAUUUAGUCAAGAUUUUGCCCUUAUUACAUGCCUGGGGUCAGUAUCCUGGAGAUUCAGUGGUUACUAAUGGUUACUCGGCCAGAGAAAUGAAGGAAGAGGUAAGGCAAAAAAAAACCCGCAUACAUAUAUGGUGUAUUUUU